rnacentral:miRNA from 3 species
UAUCAAGACCAUGGUGAGAGUC